GUGCGAGACCGAUAGCGAACAAGUACCGUGAGGAAAAGAUGAAAAGAACUUUGAAAAGAGAGUUAAAGAGUACCUGAAACUGCUGAAAGGGAAGCGAAUCGUAUCCAGUGUCUAUAAUCUGCGGCAUAUUUCAUUGGCGGCAGUGUGCGUGCUUUUGCGUCGGAAGCGGCUUUUGUUGCUCUGUGCUUUUGCUGUGCGUGGUGUUGCUGGUGCCCUGUGUUGCGGUGGGACGUCAGAGUCAGUUUGUAUGCUGCGGGAAAUGGCUGCCGAGGAGGUAGGUCGAGAUUUCGGUCUUGGCUGUUAUAUCUUGGUGGUUUGUUGUCGUGGUUGAGACUGAGGUGCCUACAAUGUGCUUUUGAGUGUACCGGGUUCUCAUUUGGUGGACUGUUUGGAUAGCUUGCUAUGCUUGUGGUUUUUUCAUCGGGUGAUUGAGUCUGGUGGUAACUUGUUGCUGUUCGGGACUUUGA
rnacentral:rRNA from 2 species